UACAGAGGGUGCGAGCGUUGUCCGGAAUCACUGGGCGUAAAGGGCGCGUAGGUGGCGGCCCAAGUCCAUGGUGAAAGCUCGAUGCUCAACAUCGAGUCGGCCACGGAUACUGGGUUGCUCGAGCACUGUAGGGGCAGAUGGAAUUCCGGGUGUAGCGGUGGAAUACGUAGAGAUCCGGAAGAACACCGGUGGCGAAGGCGGUCUGCUGGGCAGUUGCUGACACUGAGGCGCGACAGCGUGGGGAGCAAACAGG
rnacentral:rRNA from 1 species